CUGUACUUAGCUUGGAGACAGGAGAGUGAGAACACUGGAUAGUGUCACUAUAGGAUGUGAAACAACAUGACGUGGACUUGCUGUUCUUUCCAAGGUGCUAAAAAGCGCAAACAACAAGCAGGACAAAAAAGCCGAAAGCAACUUGAUUUAAGAAGAACAGGGAGAUUAGUGCUUCUUGCGGCUUGGGGACGACAGAACUGGCAAGCGGCGCUGUCAAAAUAGACUACGAUGUGACGGUGGGAAUUUUGUCCUGACGAAUUGGAAUGGCUGCCCAUGAGAAAAUCGCAUAAGACCGGAAAAUGGAGAAGUGUGAGAUCAGCCAUUUUAAACAUUAGAAGCAAAUUGUUUCUUCCGAGGGCUGCCUUCCCCAGGAAAAAUGCUGACUUUGGCAGCACCUUUAUGUUUGCAGAGCACCCUGUGUGCAGCAAGCCAUUGCUGCUGUGCAGCGGUCAAUGAGAUCAGGACGAUCUCAGCAGUACAGAACAGUUUGAUUCUAGGAUGUGGAGAUCCACUGACACAAUUAUUGCAGAGAUCAGAAAUAUCUGGUUUACCUGUGGGAAGCUAAAACUGCUAGGAGUGUGUUGGCUGUGGCUCUGCAGGCUUUUAGUGGGAGAGAAGUGAAGUUAGUAUUUCUUUUGCAGAUUACUUGAGUGAUUCCCUGACUUCUGUCUGUCUUUACUGUAAGCUCUUGGGAAAGUAACAUUUCUAUUCUUCCUUUGUGUUGAGCCUUUUUCAGUGGGACCCUGAUCUUGCUGGACCUAAUCAGAGCUGCUGCAAAAUUAGAAUACUGCCAUUUGUUCCUCUCCCACUCUAAGGCAACUGCAUAGUAAAACUCUCUAUCUUUUUCCAGAGUUUUAAAACUCGAUUCAUUCCUUAAAUGCAAGAGGGCUUAGGGAGGAGUGAGGAUUGAUUCUCAAAGUUACAAAUCCUGCUGCCUUUCCAAAUAAAAUUAAACAGCAUCCUAGUCUCACCUGUAUGCUUGCUGACCAUCUCAGCAUUAGGAAGACAUCCUAAUGUGCUUUCUGCUGCUGUUUUGUUAUUACACACACACAUACCCUUUUCUCUUUUUUUUCAUAAUUGCUAGCUCCUUAUGCUUCAGAGACUGUCAGAUGAGAAUAACAGGACAUCCAUGAUAUUCAUAAUAUUUGUAGCAGCUGUCAAAUGAUACUGUCUUAGAGUGGAAGAUGUGUAGUUCUGCAGAGUGACAGCUGUGGCUUGUAUAUAUUUAAAGCAGCCCUCUCUGUCU